rnacentral:rRNA from 1 species
AGUGUAGGCGGUUUAUUAAGUGGAAUGUGAAAGCCUGGGGCUUAACCCCAGAACUGCAUUCUAAACUGGUAGACUUGAGUGUGGGAGAGGUAAGUGGAAUUCCUAGUGUAGCGGUGGAAUGCGUAGAUAUUAGGAGGAACAUCAGUGGCGAAGGCGACUUACUGGAACAUAACUGACGCUGAGGCUCGAAAGCGUGGGGAGCAAACA